rnacentral:rRNA from 1 species
UACGUAGGGUGCGAGCGUUGUCCGGAAUUACUGGGCGUAAAGAGCUCGUAGGUGGUUUGUCGCGUUGUUCGUGAAAACUCACAGCUUAACUGUGGGCGUGCGGGCGAUACGGGCAGACUGGAGUACUGCAGGGGAGACUGGAAUUCCUGGUGUAGCGGUGAAAUGCGCAGAUAUCAGGAGGAACACCGGUGGCGAAGGCGGAUCUCUGGGCCUUACCUGACGCUGAGGCGCGAAAGCUAGGGGAGCGAACAGG